UUUUCCUUGCUGUUUUCCUUGCUGCAUCCCCUUUGCCAGGUUGCUGCACUGUGGGAUCCACUGCUUGAGGCUUCGUUUGGCUGCUGGCUGAGCUUUCUGCCUUUGGCUCUGUGAUGGGAUGAUGAGCUGCUUGUGCGUAAAAUCGUAUCCCCUCAGAGUUUGUUCAAGUCCACAAACCUCUGUCUGUGACGGAGCCCCUCAGACAUGGCUACUCUAGUCACUAGCAGAUUCCGACAGUGGUUGCUUUCGUAAUCGCUUCCAACAUAAAAGCUCCUUAACGGAAACACGUCUUCUGGAAUCUCUGCGUGACAGUUUCCGGCGAGGAGUGGGUGUUCUUACAGGAGGUCCUGAAACUUCCCCACUGUUUUCGCUGGAAGUGUCUCUGAGCCAUCCCUCCAGCUCAGCUCCUCUCCCCUGCUGGUUCCCUCUUCAGCUGCUGCGUCUCUCCCAACCUGUGUGAGCCCUUUCACCUCCCUGUUGGUUCCCUCUUCCGCUGCUGCGUCUCUCCCAACCUGUGUGAGCCCUUUCACCUCCCUUCCGUCCGAUGGCAGUUCCCUGACAUCCACCUCCCCUCCAGGGCCCCCUUCACCCCCUCUCGCCCCCUCCUCUACGGGCGGUGAGGAGGCAAAACCCCGGAAUGAACUUCCUUCAUCUUCCGAUGUCUCGAACACUUCUCUCAACCUGUUGCGGUUCCUGGUCUCGAAGUACACCUCCUCCUCAGAGUCCAUCUCCCCUUCCCCUUCCGAGUCCGGGAAUCCUUCCAACUCCUCCCCUUCAUCAGUGGUCCCAAAGUAUUCCCUCCGGAACCUCUCCACAGGCUGAGGUUUCCUUGGGAACCUUUGAUGGAACGUUUCUAUCAAUACCUCGUCAUUGAUAUCUUCAGCCAUUACCCAAGUGUUUUCUGACUCCGGUUCUCCUUCCCACGCUACCAAAUACUCCACCUGAUCCCCCUUCCACCUGGCGUCGAGGAUUUCUGCCACAUGGCUGCUGCAUUCUCUUUCUUCUACGACCGGUCCCCGAGGGGCCAGCCCUUCUCGUCCCCCUUCGUACGGUGACAGUAACGACCUGUGAAAUACUGGGUGCAGUUUCAUGUGGUUGGGUAACCGGAGCCUGAAAGCCACUGGGUUGACCUGUUGAAUGACCUCAAAGGGACCCAACCUCCUGGGUCUUAAUUUCUUACAACCUCCUUUGACCGGCAACCCUUGGGUUGACAGCCACACCCUAUCUCCCACCCUUAUGGUUUCACCUUCCCUUCGGUUCUUGUCUGCCUGCCUCUUGUAUUCUUCCUUCGCCCUUUCUAAGUUGAGUUGGAGCUGACGAUGGAUUGCUUCCAUUUCUUCCACAAAAUGCUCGGCUGCCGGGACGCUCCAUCUCUCCCCCUCUCCCCUGGGAAAGCCCUGGGAUGACACCCAUAAUUAGCCAAGAAGGGCUCAUCCCUGUGGACACAUUCUCGGCAUUGUUGUAGGCAAAUUCCGCCAGCGCCAACUUUUCUACCCAGUCAUUCUCUCUGUCAUUGACAUAACACCUCAGGUAUUGCUGGAGGACACCGUUUGCUCUUUCCGCCUGCCCGUUGGUUUCAGGGUGCCGGGCAGUCGAAAAAUUGACCUCCACCUGCAGUAAGCUCAUGAGCUUCCUCCAGAACCUGGAAGUAAAUUGUUUUCCUCGGUCUGAGACCACCCUCAAUGGCACCCCGUGCAACCUAAAAAUGUUUUCUACAAAUAACUUCGCUGUCUCUUCCGCCGUGACUGCAUGCGAGCAAGCUACAAAGUGGCACAUCUUUGUUAGUAGGUCUACCACCACCAUGAUGGCUGUUUUCCCUUGGACUUCGGCAGAUCAGUCAUAAAAUCUAUCGACACUGCCUCCCAAGGUCGUUCUGGGGUUGGUAAGGGUUCUAAUAGCCCCGCCGGCGCCCGCCUUUCCCCUUUGGCUCGCUGGCAUUGCUCGCACCCUCUUACAUACUCACGUACAUCUUCCCUCACCUUAGGCCACCAAAAUUCCCUGGUGACCAACCACAUGGUUUUGUGUUGUCCAAAAUGCCCCGCCGUAGGGCUGUCGUGCAACUGCUUGAGUACCCCCCCCCUUAACUCUCCUUCAGGGAUAUACAGUGCCCCUUUGUAAUACAAAGCUCCAUUUCUUUCCUCAAAACCCCCUGGUUCCUCUCCAUCACCCCUAAGACCUCUGAGCUUAUUCUGGGCGUAUUCAUCAUUCUCUGUUUCCUCUACCAGUUCUCUUUGUCCCACCAAUGCCGCCCCACACACCCAGCGGUCUUCUGGAAUGACAUGUCUCUCUUCGGUGCCCUCCCCUCCAAAUAUUCAGGUUUGCGUGAGAGAGCGUCCGCCCUAAUGUUCUCUGGGCCUGGCACGUAACUAAUCUCAAAGUUAAAUUUGGAGAACUCCUGGGCCCAUCUCACUUGCCGUUGGUUGAGCACUCGUGCCGUCCUCCAAUACUCUAGGUUCUUGUGGUCAGUGCACACUUGCACCUUAUGUUGUGCGCCAAUUAGCAGGUGCCUCCAUCUCCGGAACGCCUCAUGAAUGGCUAGUAAUUCUCGGUCAUACACCGUGUAGUUCCUCUCGGAUUUGUUCAGCUUUCGCGAAAAAAAAGGCACACGGUCUCCACUCUGACCCCUUCUUGCCUGGCUGCAGAAGCACCGCCCCAAUCGCUCUGUCUGAUGCGUCAGUUUCCACUCUCAUCGGUUUUUGUAAAUCCACAUGCAGGAGUUGUUGUUCCGAGGCGAAGGCCCUUUUAGUUCCUCAAAUGCUCGCUCCGCCUCCUCAGUCCACACGAACUUCUUCUUACUGCUGAGACAGUCCGUAAUGGGCGCCGUCAGGUGGGCAAAGUUUCGGAUGAACUUACGAUAGAAGUUCCCAAAUCCUAGGAACCUCUGCACAUCCUUCUUUGUUUUGGGUGUUUUCCAUUCCAGCACCGCCUGGACCUUGCCGGGAUCCAUGGCCAAUCCUUUGUCUGACAGGCGAUACCCCAGGAAUUCCACCUCCUUGGUAUGAAACUGACACUUCUCCAGUUUCACCCACAGCUGGUUGGCUUGCAGCCUGCUCAACACUUCUCUGACGUCUCUCACAUGCUGCUCCUCAUUCUCAGAAUACACCAACACGUCGUCUAAAAGGCCACACAAUUCUUGUAAAGCAAAGGCCCCAGGACGUGGUUCAUAAACGAUUGAAAUGUUGCGGAGCCUGCUUGUAGGCCGAAGGGCAUAACCAAAUAUUCAAAUGCCCCUAACGGGGUGAACAUAGUGGUUUUCCAUUCAUCCCCCUUCCUUAUUCGUACCAGGUUGUACGCCCCCCUUAGGUCCAGCUUUGUGAAAAUCUUUCCCUUCCGCACCCUUGUCAAAAUGUCGUCAAUCCUGGGCAUAGGGAAGGCUACUGGUUCUGACACUGCAUUUAAGGCCCUGAAGUCACACACCAGCCUCGGCUUGUUCGUGUUUUUCUUAUCCACAAAAACACUGGGCUGCCCCCACCGCCCUGGACUCUCUGAUGAACCCUCUCUUCAGGUUCUUGUCAAUGAACUCUCUUAACUCCUGCAUCUCUCUGUCUGACAUGGCGUACAGCUUGCCUACAGGGAGCUGUGCUCCAGGGAGUAAGUUGAUUUGACAGUCAAAGGGUCUAUGCGGGGGUAGUUGGUCAGCUUCCCUUUCGCUGAAGACGUCACGGAGAUCUGCAUAUUGUCGUGGUACCUUCACGUUCUCUGUUACUUCAGUCCCUGCUAGGGUGGCUUGGACCCCUGCCAAACCCUUUCCCUCUUUGCAGUGUUCUAAGCAAUGUGCUGAACCAAAAGAAACCACUCUCUGAUGCCAGCCCACCAGCGGAUCAUGUAACGCUAGCCAGCUCACCCCCAAUAUAAUGGGAGCUCCUCCCAAGGUGGCCACAUUAAAAGCUAUCAGUUCGGUGUGCCUUGCUACCUUCAUUAUCAUUGGGACGGUCUGCAAGCUGACUUCUCCACCCAACAGCUCCCUGCCAUCGAUAGUGGUCACCUGCAGGGGGCUGCUUAAAGGAUUGUCUGUAUCUGGUGUUCAGCUGCAAACUCUUUGCUCAUGAAAUUGCAGGAGCUGCCUGAGUCCAACAGCGCCUUUAUCUUUAGAGGGUGUCCGUUUGGCAGCUCUAGCGUCACUUCUAUCACUAGGGCGGGUUUAGGAGGUUCUGGCGUGGGCACUCUCACUGCUCUUUGGCCUGGCUGCUGUGCCCUGACAGUGGCAGCCAGGCGUUGGCUUUACUUGCUCCGGUAUAUUUUCCUCUCUUCCAUCCACAGCUCCUACCAUCCCUUGCCAUUCUUUCCUCUGGGGGCAGACUCUGGCAAAGUGACCUGGCUGUUGGCAGAGAUAGCAUUUCCGGGCGCCUUUUCCCUCCUUCUUUGCCCCCUCACUGGGCUUUGAAACUGCGCGCGCGCGCUGUUCCGAUUUCCAUCGGCUCUGCCGGUGGGAAAGUUGGCUCUGGAAUGUUUGGAAUGCGGAACUCCUUCCAACGUUCCCCUUUCCCUUCCCGCCUCUCCAAUGCUCUCGCCUCCUGGCGCGCUCCUAUGGCCAGCGCUGAUUUGGUCAGCUGGUCCAUAGACUCCGCCCUGGGCGCCCGGGAAAGUUCGUCUUUCACAGCCGAAGAAAGCCCUUCUUCAAAGAGCAUCUGAAUGGGUUCCGCCGAUAAGUCCCACCCCAAUCUGUGAACAAGCAUGGUGAACUCAGUCCAGUACUCACGGACAGAUCGGCUCCCCUGUUUGCAACCCAUUAACUGUCUGCUCACCACUCCCUUUUCAAUAUCGCUGGAAAACAUCAGAUCCAUGGCGCGAAAGAACUUCAUCGUGUCCUUUAAGACGUCACUAUUAGCUGCCAUCAGGGGUCUAACCCAGUCUCUCGCCCCCUUUUCAAGAUGCUCAAUCACGAAAGCCACUCGUGAUUCCUCGUCAGGGAAUUCAUCAAACUGCAGAUUGAGGGCAUAUUGCAUUUCUGUCCGAAAACCAUGAUAGGUUUUGGGCUCCCCCAAACUUCUGCACCAAUCCUGGUACCUUUCUGGCAAACUGGGUGGCUUUCCCCCUUUGUCUGCAUCCUGAGCCCUCCUCUCCUCAAGCCUCGCCGUCUGCAUCGCUAGCUGGACCUCCAACAUCUGGUACCUUUCUUCCAGGCUUGGACCCGCUCCAGCUCCUGCUUCUCCGGUUCCGGCUGGGUUGCUCAUGAUGCCUUCUCCUGCACAAGCUGCUUUCAAAGACUGUCGGAAUGCUGUGAUGGGAUGAUGAGCUGCUUGUGCGUAAAAUCGUAUCCCCUCAGAGUUUGUUCAAGUCCACAAACCUCUGUCUGUGACGGAGCCCCUCAGACAUGGCUACUCUAGUCACUAGCAGAUUCCGACAGUGGUUGCUUUCGUAAUCGCUUCCAACAUAAAAGCUCCUUAACGGAAACACGUCUUCUGGAAUCUCUGCGUGACAGUUUCCGGCGAGGAGUGGGUGUUCUUACAGGAGGUCCUGAAACUUCCCCACUGUUUUCGCUGGAAGUGUCUCUGAGCCAUCCCUCCAGCUCAGCUCCUCUCCCCCUGCUGGUUCCCUCUUCAGCUGCUGCGUCUCUCCCAACCUGUGUGAGCCCUUUCACCUCCCUGUUGGUUCCCUCUUCCGCUGCUGCGUCUCUCCCAACCUGUGUGAGCCCUUUCACCUCCCUUCCGUCCGAUGGCAGUUCCCUGACAGGCUCGGAGGGGCUCAGAAGUUGAACAUACCUGUGCUGGGAAAAUCCCUUAUUUUGGCUGCUGAUCCCUUAUUUUUGAGGCUGCUGGUCCCUUAUUUUCAAAUCUGUAAGUUGACAGCUAUGGCCCAUCUUCAGUUUUUCUUUAACGUCAGAGACGUCCCUUUCCCAGAGAAUUGUUCUCUGCCUUCCACUGGUGUCGUUAGGGGAAACCAAAAUCUGUCAGCCUGUGCAGUUUGCAUCAUGGUUUUGUUCCCACUGAGAAUGACGCUUGAGAGUGGUCUUCGCCGAGUUAAUAAACUUGCAACUCUGCUAUGCCGCUUAAUAAAUACUUGCAUGACCAGAUGCACGUCCUCUAUAUUAAAAGAAGUUCUUUGCACUUAGAAAAAUAGCAUUUCAGGGAUGAGGUGAGGAUGAAAUGCUGCUUUUAUGCUCUCU
rnacentral:lncRNA from 1 species